CAUACUCUCCUGUGGUGGAUGCA
rnacentral:siRNA from 1 species